rnacentral:rRNA from 1 species
ACCAGCACGUUAUGGUGGGCGACUCUAAGGAGACUGCCGGUGACAAGCCGGAGGAAGGUGGGGAGUGACGUCAAGUCAUCAUGGCCCUUACGGCCUGGGCUACACACGUGCUACAAUGGUCGGUACAAAGGGUUGCCAAGCCGCGAGGUGGAGCUAAUCCCAUAAAACCGAUCGUAGUCCGGAUCGCAGUCUGCAACUCGACUGCGUGAAGUCGGAAUCGCUAGUAAUCGUGAAUCAGAAUGUCACGGUGAAUACGUUCCCGGGCCUU